GGGCUCGCGGCCUAUCAGCUAGUUGGCGAGGUAACGGCUCACCAAGGCGAUGACGGGUAGCUGGUCUGAGAGGAUGGCCAGCCACAUUGGGACUGAGAGACGGCCCAGACUCCUACGGGAGGCAGCAGUGGGGAAUCUUGCGCAAUGGCCGAAAGGCUGACGCAGCGACGCCGCGUGGAGGAUGACGCCCUUCGGGGUGUAAACUCCUGUUGCCCGGGACGAAUGCCUGUUUCGACAGGAGUGACGGUACCGGGUGAGGAAGCACCGGCUAACUCUGUGCCAGCAGCCGCGGUAAUACAGAGGGUGCGAGCGUUGUCCGGAAUCACUGGGCGUAAAGGGCGCGUAGGCGGUCGGGUAAGCGUGUGGUGAAAGUCCGGGGCUCAACCCCGGAUCGGCCAUGCGAACUGUCCGACUGGAGCACGGUAGAGGCACAUGGAAUUCCGGGUGUAGCGGUGGAUUGCGUAGAGAUCCGGAAGAACACCGGUGGCGAAGGCGGUGUGCUG
rnacentral:rRNA from 1 species